AACCUGAAAACCUAGUCUCAGUUCGGAUCGGAGUCUGNAACCCGACUCCGUGAAGCUGGAUUCGCUAGUAAUCGCGCAUCAGCCAUGGCGCGGUGAAUACGUUCCCGGGCCUUGUACACACCGCCCGUCAAGCCAUGGGAGCCGGGAGUGCCUGAAGUCCGUGACCGCGAGGAGCGGCCUAGGGUAAGACCGGUGACUGGGGCUAAGUCGUAACAAGGUACC
rnacentral:rRNA from 1 species